AACGAACGCUGGCGGCAGGCUUAACACAUGCAAGUCGAACGCACCCUUCGGGGUGAGUGGCAGACGGGUGAGUAACGCGUGGGAACGUACCCUUCGGUUCGGAACAACCCAGGGAAACCUGGGCUAAUACCGGAUGCGCCCGACCUUGGGCGGCGAAAGGUGGACUGCCGAAGGAUCGGCCCGCGUCGGAUUAGCUAGACGGUGGGGUAACGGCCCACCGUGGCGACGAUCAGUAGCUGGUCUGAGAGGAUGAUCAGCCACACUGGGACUGAGACACGGCCCAGACUCCUACGGGAGGCAGCAGUGGGGAAUAUUGGUCAAUGGGCGCAAGCCUGAACCAGCCACGCCGCGUGAGUGAAGAAGGCCUUAGGGUUGUAAAGCUCUUUCAGCGGGGACGAUAAUGACGGUACCCGCAGAAGAAGCCCCGGCUAACUUCGUGCCAGCCGCCGCCGUAA
rnacentral:rRNA from 1 species